GAUUUGUGCAAAGUACGUUUCUGUUACACUGGGACAUCGAUUACCAAGAAAGGUCACCCCUUCUUCCAGAUCAGCUUUGAGUGAAAUAUGCGAUUCAACGCUGACUUUUGUUGUGGAAACCUCGGCUGAACCAUAUUGCAGUCCCUAGCGUGUGAAUGAUUGACACUGCCACAAUGCUGAGGUCCGGAGAAGAGAUGGGAGCGCAGCAGCUGCCCUGGGGGGCGGGAAGGUUGGAGACUAGAGCCCCCAGGACUCCGGGAGCAUGACAUACCAGGGGAUCCAAAAGGCAGCGUGACCAAGGCAGGACUUCCCCUCCCGGCACACUGGUGUUUUCUCUGUUUAAUACAGAACAAAGGAGAGGUGGCACAGCCGCUGCUGGAGAAAUCAAAGCAGGCGAGAGGUGACAAUCCCACACUGUGUGCGCGUGUAUCUGCCUCACACUGAGCGUGCACAUUGUGUGCGUCUGUAGCUGUCUCGUGUCCAUACCGGGCCCGGCCCCCAGGGCUAUGGAUGAUCUGAAUGGGCAUCACUAGACUCCUGCCUAGCUUGCCAAGCGGAUGUGUAACCGCUGGAAUUCUCCCCCUUUCUUUUUGCUUGCUAGUGUGUGUGUUUGGGUUUUGUUGUACCUUCUUGAGCGAAAGAAAGCGGCCCCAG